AUGCUCACUUUGGCCGCACAUAUACUAAAAAAUUGGAGCAAUACAGAGAUUAGCAUGGCCCCUGCACAAAGAUGAUAUGCAAAUUCGUGAAGUGUUCCAUAUUUAA